UGUGGUGUAGUUCAAUGGUGGAACACUCACCUAACAUGUAUGAGGCCCUGAGUUCAAUUCUUAGUAUUGCAA
rnacentral:tRNA from 1 species